GGCGGCUCGAGUGGUGGCCACUAUUACUGGGCUUAAAGCGUUCGUAGCUGGUUUGUUAAGUCUCUGGGGAAAUCUUCCGGCUUAACCGGAAGGCGUCUCAGGGAUACUGUCAGACUUGGGACCGGGAGAGGUGAGAGGUACUUUAGGGGUAGGAGUGAAAUCCUGUAAUCCUUGAGGGACCACCUGUGGCGAAGGCGUCUCACCAGAACGGCUCCGACAGUGAGGGACGAAAGCUGGGGAGCAAACC
rnacentral:rRNA from 1 species